UACGUAGGGGGCAAGCGUUGUCCGGAUUUAUUGGGCGUAAAGAGCGUGUAGGCGGCCAGGUAGGUCUGCUGUGAAAACUCGAGGCUUAACCUCGAGAUGUCGGCGGAAACCAUCUGGCUAGAGUCCGGAAGAGGAGAAUGGAAUCCCCGGUGUAGCGGUGAAAUGCGCAGAUAUCGGGAAGAACACCCGUGGCGAAGGCGGUUCUCUGGGACGGUACUGACGCUGAGACGCGAAAGCGUGGGGAGCGAACAGG
rnacentral:rRNA from 1 species